GGAAAUUGACGGGGAGCACCACAACAGGUGGAGCCUGCGGUUUAAUCGGACUCAACGCCGGGAAACUCACCAGAUAAGACAGCUGAAUGAUAGUCGGGCUGAAGACUCUACUUGACUAGCUGAGAGGAGGUGCAUGGCCGUCGUCAGUUCGUACUGUGAAGCAUCCUGUUAAGUCAGGCAACGAGCGAGACCCACGCCAACAGUUGCCAGCUCGUCCUCCGGGAUGGUGGGGACACUGUUGGGACCGCCUCUGCUAAAGAGGAGGAAGGAAUGGGCAACGGUAGGUCAGCAUGCCCCGAAUUAUCUGGGCUACACGCGGGCUACAAUGGGUGGGACAAUGGGUAUCGACACCGAAAGGUGAAGGCAAUCUCCUAAAACCAAUCUUAGUUCGGAUUGAGGGCUGCAACUCGCCCUCAUGAAGCUGGAAUCCGUAGUAAUCGCGUUUCAACAGAACGCGGUGAAUACGUCCCUGCUCCUU
rnacentral:rRNA from 1 species